ACACACACUUAUCCAUUCAUUCUUUUAUUUUAAAGGAAGUGGUAGGUUAUAGGCAUCUGUUGUUUUGGUCACCCAAAAUCCACUCAUUUUUCUUCUGACAGCAACACCUUGACUCUCUUUCAGAAACCACAUCCUGUCUCAUGCUCACUCCAUGUUCUUAAGAUGGGGGUGGGAUCUAUGGGUGGAUAUGUGACUCAGGCCUGGCCAAUCAGCACAACGUAUUCUCUUGGCUAUUGUGACUCAUCAUUGACAUGGCAUGUUCCCCAGUCAAAACCAAUGAUGUGCGGUGGAACUUUCACUGAGACUAUUGAGACAAGCCAUCCGCCCUUUCCUGCUAGAUAAGGCUUAGAAGAAGAAAAGCCUGGAGAUCUUGGCUACCAUCUUUCCACCCCAUGGAGCUCCAGAAUGAAACUGAUCUAUAGGAAAUUAGUAUUGACAGGUUCACGAAGUUUUUGCCAAUAAAUUAGGAAUGUACUAACUAGUUCUGAAGACUGUGGCACCCAGGAAAUUUUAUUGAUCUCAUAAUUUACCAGAUCUUUUGGUUAAUUACAAGUUCUGUCUAGCUGGGUACGCUUUUUGAGUCAGCUGCACAUCAUAAAUAAGUAACCUCAGUACUCACCCUCCCUACAUUGCUGACAGCCUCCUGUGAGGUCAAAGGUGUAAUAGCUACAAUACCCAGAGUCUCUAACAUGUUUAAUUAAACUAUUAAUCUACUUUUAUCUCUGACACUAGAAAGCUGGCUACAUUGAAUUUUCAGAGUCAUUCGAUGCAUUUACUUACGGUGGAUUUUUCUAAGCCGUAUCUUUCACAGUUUAGCAUUGGCAACUCUUUUAAAGGUAAUUUGAAAAAAUGUGAAUGUUGGAGGAAUUACUGUAUCAGCUAAUAAGAAAGUGUGUCAUUUACAGUGAUUCAUGCAUUUGCUUCCUGAUGCAAUAUGUAAGUAAAGCACUUUAUUAAAAACAAAGAAGAUUAAGGUUCACUUAAGGUUUGAAAAUUGUAGUAGAUCAAUCAGCAGCAAACCCAGAAGGCCCAUUUUUUAAAGUGUGUUGAUGAUCAUUGGAACAGGAGUUAUCUUUGUUACAUAACCUACAAGAACUCGCUGAGGACAAGUGUAACCUCUGGUGGCAGUAAUGACAUUUUCAGUGAUCAGGCUUUGUGUUCAUUAUCACAGUGGAGGCUUGAAACUUGAGUCCUCAGCAACGUGUGUAUCCACGAAGCUUUAAUUAGGUUAACAAAGUACUCAUGUGUCUGUCUCUUUAUUGUCUAUCAACUGGCAGUAAUCUACUACAUAUGUUACACAAUUAAGGAAGCAAUUUGCUGCUUUUCAUUUUAUUUCCUGUGCUCAUUCUUGAGCUUGUGGGUAUAGAAUCAUGUGAAAAAUUCAAGGUUUUACUUUCCUUCACUGUAAGCUCAUGUUACCUGAUUGCAUCAUUUUUUACUCUUCUUUAUUAAGGGAAUCUACAUCUUAUGCACCUACAUCAAAUCUAUAAAAAUAUGACACCAUGACCUUCUAACUUAAUGUCAUUGGCUUUAGUUUUAACAAUGAUUUAGAGUGAUUUGAGUCAUGCUUUGGAACAUUCCACUUAAAAAUCAGUUUAGACAGGCAAUGCCUGUGCAAAUAUUGACUAUAAAUAUGAUGUGUUUCUAGCAAGUUAGAUUAAUAUCAUGAGCUAAAAUUCAGAGAUCUAUUUUUUUUCUUUUCUGCUUUGUUAAAGAGUAUUACCAAAAACCAAAUCCAUUUGCAGAUUGGUCAUAUAUUUUGCAAAUGCCCGUGGGACUAAAAUUUAAUUUAGAUACUCAACAUAUCUUCCCUCCCAUCCUACCUCUAGUCAAAAUAAUCAAAACCACAACUCUUUUACAUUUGUGCAGCAGUUGAAGCUGUGUAUUUCAGCUUAUUUUAUUGUAUUUUAACUUUUUGCACUGUACUGGCUGACUGAGUAUUCUAUGUAUCUUGUUAAAUGUGAGCAGCUUCCUCUAAAACAAGUCAUUUCAGCUGACACUUUUGGCUCACAUUCAGCAUUUUACGGCCUCUGUCUCAGAGCCACAAGUUUAUAAUUUGAGAUGCCGCAGAGCUUACUUAUUCAUCAUGAUUAGAUGUUUCUAUCUACUAUUCUACUGAAUGGCAAGCUCUAAUAUUAAAAAAAACAAUCAGUCCUUGGUUUGGUAACAAAAACAAAAAAUAGUGAAAAAAAUAAAUGAAAUGUACUACAUUUAUCUCCUUGAUGUGGGUGUAAUAUGAGUCCAACUUUUGAAUGACCAUUAACUAUUUGCAUAAUAUAAAAUAUAAACUGGUAACUUUGGAGCAUUUGUACCAUCCUGGUGCUUCAGGCUUAAAAUUACUAGUUUGAAAAGAUAAUUAUUGGCCAUAUUUACAGAAAAAAUGAGUUUCAAAUGCAUUUUUAAUGUAAUAUGUGAGUACAUAGCUAUUAAAGGUUAAUGGUUUUCUUUGGAGAAUAAUUUUUCUUUUUGGACUAUUGUAGUAAUCCCUUUGUAAAUGUUUGAUUUCUAUCCUACAUAAGCAAAACCUGUGGGCUGUUAUUCCUACUGUUCUGAGAUGAAAGCAGCUAGGAAUUUUAGAGGGCAACCCCAGUGAGAUUAUCUGACUCACAGAAAUGAAUCAUUAAUGGUGGAACCUCAGGCAUGGGGUGGGGGGUCAUGUCAGGGGAGUAGCCUGUUAGCUUCAGCACGUGCUACCAUCACUUACACCGCUUCCCCAUGAAGGCAGGUCCAACCUGCUCUGCAGCGGAGCCUGGGACUUUUGUGCCUGCUCUCCAAUCAGAGCCUUUGGCUACUGCUGUUACUAUCAGGAAUAGCUGUCGGUAGAGAAGAGAACACUGGACAUAAUGUGGCUGACUGUGACUCCAGCCCAAACCUCUGUCCCCUUGUCUUUCAUGGUGCUUUAAACCUCAUCAUCAAAACAAAUAAAAUAUCCUUGGGCGGAGGAUCAGAACUAAUGGUAUUAUGCCUUAGAGAUUUUUUGUUUUACCAUUAAAAAUAUAUAUUUUCAGGUUUCUUUAUACUCAAUAGCUGUAUUAUUGGUCUAUAUUUUAUGUAAGAGUAGUUAGGUAACUAGCCUCAGAACACACAAGUAGUAAAUAGUAGGGCUAGGUUUUAAAACCAAAUUUGUGUGUUAACCAAAGCCAGUACCUAGUUCACUAUAUAAUGAUCAUCCCCAUGGUGGGGAAGCAGCCUUUCUUAUGAUCAGACAUUCUUUAUGCACCUAAUUGAGUUCUAGAAAGGAACAUAGGGCAAGAUGGGUGUGAGGUGGGCACGGUGGUGCUGAGAAACUGGUAAUCCAAAAGAAUCAAUAAGUCAAACAACCACUACCACCAAACAAGCCCUGGUUUGGAACGUUUUCCAGUUUUAUGUAGUGGGAAUACUCCCACUGUGGCCAAGUGAGGUCACUGAAUGUCAAGUUGAAAAGAGAUGCACAAGGUCAGCUCUCACAGCCUGGCUCCCACACACCACUGAGCGGGGAGCACAGAUGUGGCCAUGGGAAGAAGGGCAAGGGGUGGUCAAAGAAGGAGUGAAUUGCUCAGAGGGGCCUGACAGACAAAUGACACUCAAGGACUCUAAGCUCUUUGCACCCUACGGUGACAGCCAGUUACUUGAGGAGUCUCCCAUGAACUGUAGCUCCCAGGGUUCAUGCCUUGUGCGGUUUCUUCCCCUUGGGCUUGUGACUUGCUUAAACCAGUAGAAUGUGGCAGCAGUGAUGCUCUGCAGGUUCUAGAGCUCAGCCAUAAGAAAGCCUGGAAUCUUCUAAUGUAGCACCCUCAGAGCCCUGAGCUGCCCUGUGAGGAGCCUAGCCGCCCUGCUCCAACAGACUGCAUGGAAGGUUCAUGUGCAAGGGGCAUGUGAAGAUGUAGAGGCCCUUACACCGCAUGGAGGACUGAAGAGCCCAGCCCAUGGAGGACAGCAUGUCCCAGACACAUGUCCCUCGGAGAGCCAUCCCAUUGGAGGCACCACACCUGCGAGUGCGGAGCUCACCUUGAGUGUGAAUUGUGAGAAAAUGUUGUUUUAAGCCACUAAGUUUUGGGUCAAUUUAGGUGCAAGGUGCAAUUGACAACUAAAACCAUUUAUUUUCUACCAAUGCAAGAAUCUUACUUUUACUUACGAUGUUUUAUCAUCAAGAUGGGAAGGGAAGCCCUGUCCCUCAAGUCACAGAUGUACCAUGGAAACCCAUGGGGACAGACAAGGCCAUGCCCUCCAACUAACUUGGCGCCUCAUUCACUGCCACCUGUUCCUUCCUCUCAGUCUGAUUUAGAAAGUGUAUGAGAAAAUUGUGGUUGAUGGCUUUCCCAUUGGGGUAUCACCAUCUUCUUUUGUGGUGACAGUGCUUGAAACUGAUCAAAAGAAAAAAUGAGAGAGAAGACAUCUCUACCAUCAUUGUUCAAGAACAAGAAUAGAACAAAUCUCAAAUCUGUAAGCCCAAGCUGCUUUUGAGGAGUAUAAUUCUUAUUGUAUUGGCAAUUCUGUGGGCAUUGUACUCAUGCUUCUUUUUCCUUUCAUUAACUAAGAAAUUAUACAGAAGAAAUAAAGAAAGGGACUGACCUUCCUAACAGAAUACUUCACCUAUAUCAUGACUUGAUGAAAUAUUGUGAAAGCAUAAAAUUGAGAGAAAAAAAUAAAGUCUCCCAUUGUCUAAAUGCUGAAUUAAACUGUUGUGUAGCUUUGGUUAGCCAUCGCCUAUAAGCUGAGACCCUGGAGUUAGCCAUAGUGAAUCCAGACAUGAGCAAGUCUCCAGAGGUAUGAAGCCCUGCUGUACACCUCUAGUUCUAAAAAGUGUAUCUGGUUUGAAUGAUUUAAUCAGAGGUUCUCUUAAUGCCAGCACAAUGUUGAUAUUUGCUCAUGAGAUGUUGGCAUUAAAAUGACUAGUGAUUUAAGGUGGUUGAUGACGUAAGACCAGAACAUGAUGAUGAUUUUAGAGCAGUAAAAAGGCUGAAAAUGAGGCAGAGAUAUUAGUUUUAUCAAAGACAAGAAAACAACUUGGGAGAAAACUUUCAACCUUCGAUAAAAUUUUCAUUUGAGUAAAGCUCAUCACAGGAUGCUCCCCAGGGUACCACGCAGGUGCAUACAUUCUGCUAUCCAUGUUUUAGAAGAAAAGUCACAAACUCAAUUAAGUACAGUUGCAAUGUUUCAAGAUCCUCCUGUUUGGGGGAAAGAAGCAAAAUCACAUCUAUUAUAGUCUGCUUACCAAGGUACAGUGAAGUACAGCACUUGAGGCUCAUAUUCUAGGAUUAAAGCUUAACUUCAGGAUGCGUCAUUUAAAGUCUGCCAGCCAUGUCUUCUUGACCUGCAAUGUGUAGAUGAUUUCCUCUCUCUUAUUACCUGCCUAUGGCAUUGUUUUAAUACUCAGAAACAUGCAGAAGUGAUUGAUAAAAGUGUAAAGUACUGUCCAAAAGUGAGAUUGCCUAGUGGCAGGUGAAAAGACAGUCUAUCCAGAAAAUAACACACCCAAUUCUGCUGAACUCUUUUAACACGCUACCCCAGAAAAUUUAGGCCUGAUUUUGUAGCUCUUCCAUGAAACCAAAUAAACUGAGAAUGAAGGAGAAGAUGUAUAUUUUCAAUCCAUUUUAGAUCAUUUGCAUUAUCUAUAUUAGCUCCAAACACAUGAGAAUGUACCUAUCAGUGUAUGAACCAGUGCUCAUUUUCCUAUCAGACAUAGGCAUCCCUUACAAUAGCAGGUGAAUAUCCAGGGAGAUAGGAUGGCUAGUAGAUUGCUAAUAUUACAUUAUGAUGAUGAUAAGGACAUUGCCUUUCUUAUGGCUAUUCAAUUAUAGUUUUUGUUCUCAUUUAAAAUAAUCAGAGUUUCAUCGUGAAGCCUUCUAAGGAAAUUUGAAUGUUACAUGAGGUGUGUAAUGGAAUAAAAAUGGAGUUACAAGGACUUCUGUUCAAUUGCCAACAUGUUUCUUUUCUAUUACUAGAGAUGGUAGAGUGGCUUUGGGGAUUACAAGAUUUAAACAUUACUUUGUACCUAGUCUUCGGCCAUUUGCUUGACCAUUUUCAUGAUUCACAACGUGAACAUGGUGACCAUUCUUCUGAAUAGCCAGUCUAAAACUCUUGGUAAUUUUUGGCUCAUAGUAUUUGCAGAAUUGCAUUUUUAAUGAUAGCACAUGUCCUGUCAAUCCUGUGAGAAUAUGUAUUUCAUAAAGUACAGCCACUUACAGGGUCUUUGAGGCAUUUUCCAAUGAGAGCAUGAGUUGUCCACAUCAGGGCAUUGCAGGUGGUCCAGGGGCAAAGAAAAAGCUAAGUUUGGAGGCACAAUAAAGAGAAGUACAAAGAACAAACAGUAAGAUAACAUAAAAAUCACACUGCAGUUGUAAUGCUCAGUUUGGUUUUGGGGACCUGGGGCAGCACGUGGGGAAAUACUAAUUGGUCAGAAUAGAUCUAUAGAAAUUCCACAGACGUUGUGAGAAUAAUUAGAUUUGAUACAAGGCACUACUCAAUAGUAUAGUAAGGAUUAGUGAGGCGGCACAAGAAUUAUAGCCAUUGUCAAACUGCAAAGAUUUUCUUCAUUUUUUUCAAGAGGAAACUUGUGAACUGGGUAAAGUUCCCCUUGUUGUUUAGUAUUUGAAACCAGUGAGAGAGCUCUUCAUUCUAUGUGAGGCUCAGUUGGCUGUACACGUAGAGUUUUAUCAAACAACAAAUCUAAAAUUUCACUGAUCAUAUUUGACUGUCAAAAACAUGACCCUCUGCUCUGACUCUUCUGUUUAUGUUAAAGCAUCUAUGGUUAAUGACUUUCUGGUUCUUGUAUUGUGAUGGACUUCAAAAUAGAUAAAUUAUUCUCUGAAGAUAAAAACCUUGUCAGUAAAAAUGAGUUUAACUUGGCAAGCUUUUCUUUUUGGAGGGGGGGGUGUCAUCUUGUGUUCUAGAAAUAAUUCACAUUAGUCAUCUUUUAGGGACUGUAAGUCAUGUCUUCCCUGUCAGGAUAUCAUACCCUGGUAGCAAUUUAUUAAAUAUUUCCUGCUGAAAAUGAACCCAGGAGAUAGUAAUUAACCUACUGUUGAGUGUGAUAAUAGAAUCAGAGAUUGAUGAACAAUUUUCUUCAAAUAUUUUAAGUAAUGGCAUAAAACUAAAAGGCCAUGCAUUGCUUGUCUUAGAAAAACAGUACAGAAUAUGUUAGAAUAUUAUGAAUAAAUGAACACUUUCAUUUAUGAGCUUUAUAUAGAAAUCAUUCAGUUUCUCUGGCAGAGGUGCAGUCUGCGUGGUAGUUAAUCUUCUCCUGGCAUUAUUGUAUAAUGCAACGCCUCUUUGGGCAAUCUUUUGUAUUAAAAUACAGCAUUUAAGCUCCUUUCCUCCACAAAGCAUUGCAAGGAUGAAUUGUACAAUCUCUUUUUUGAUAACCUGCUGGAAAUUAUUUCAGAAAUAACCAAGAUGGUAAUUCCCAUUUCAUAUCUUUCUUUAUAACUCAUUGGAAAAUAGGAAGUAUUUUCAAAGCAGCAAAAAGUUAUUGGAAUAUUAAAAAAAAUUAAAAAAACCCUGUAUUGGUAACCAAAUGAUUCCUGUCACAGCAUUGCCACCCACCCUGAGCAACUCAUUUAUCUUCCAUUGGCUUGUCAUUAUCAUUAUUUUAAUCAUUAAAAUAAGAAUAUUAAUUUGAUGACCUCUAGGUAAAUUUGAUUUUAAACUACCCCUUCCUGUUUAGAUCCUUUUCCUCAUUCUUAUUUCCAUCUAUCCCAUUUCUUCUUAUUAUAUUCUAAUGACCUCUUAUUCUAAGCUCCAAGAAAUUAUGGUUCAUCCCAGCUCAACUUAUGAUUUCUUCCUGUACAAGAGACCUGUCUCUCAUCCUCACUGCAGUCUAUUUCUCCCUCUGUAAAGGAGUUUAAAUGUCAGGGAUCAACUGGGUCGAGAGAAAAGCUUAGACCCAAUGAUGGUCAAUUGAUCGGCAAGACUUAGGCUAAAUCAGAUAGAGUCCCUUUCAGAUGCCCAGGAAGAUAGCUUCUAAUCAGAGGAAAAUAGCACCUUCAACUUGCAGUGAACAUGUUAGGAUGGCUACAACAAUCAUUUGUGAAAACUUUUUAGUUAUAAGUACUAUCUCCUCACAAAUCAGUGAUUAAGUUCAUUUAAAAUAGCCAUUCAUUCUGAGUUUUGAUCCAUAUUUGGCUUAGUAAAAGACCAACUCAUAAGGUUUAACAUUUCAUUUAAGGAUUUUUCAAGAUGAAGAAUUGUUGAUAGGAAGUUCCUCUGUGAGCUGGGUUAGAAUCCAUGGAUUGUAAAUUUUCUUUUCCACAUUGUGAGUGGAAAAAAUAUGCACUACCAGGAAAUGCCAGUCUGCUCUUCAAAAUAAGUAUAAUUAUUUUUAAAAUUAAGAUUUGGCUUUUUAAAAAUAUCUUGGUGGAGGAAGAAAAUUGAACAUGCAUGUCUAUGUAUAAAAAUUAGGCCAUACAUGGCUUCUUAUUUUGGUGCAAAAGGAUGAAAAUUAUCCAUUUUUGGUGAAAAGAGAGGAAAUCAUUCAAAUCCUCUGAGACACUAAUUCAUAAGCUAUAUGAAAUCUUUAACAGCAUGAACUCAAGUUUAUGCAAUUCCCUCAAGAAAAGCAGCUUAUUUAAAAUAAUAAAUUAUUAUGUGUAAUAUUGUUAUUACUCUCACUAGUAGUGUAAGAGUCAUUAAUAAAAUAGAGUCUCUGUGAUAUGUGAGUUCUCAUAUCAAACUAUACAUCUAUUAUAAAUGUUCUGCAUAGAGCAAAAUACCCAUAUUUGAAAUGGAUUCCAUGUGAUUAAUAGUCACCUUGCAUCAUGGAAAUUAAGGAACUCUAAGUCUACACCAUGAACAUUUGAAUUUUCUGGCAUUUAAAGGAGAGGAUGAGGUGGGGAGGAAUAGUAGUGCUUUUUAUUUCUUUUAUUUAUAUGCCAUGAGAGCUUCCAAAGAACAUAAAGAGAUGGCCGUAACCUUCUCUGUUAGAUGAAGAGGAAAAUACAGAUGUCUGAAGGAAACUUUAUUAGGAAAGUGCAUAAAGCCUUAAGAAGGUUCAGAGAAUUGAGAGGUCAUUGAGAGUUGAGAUGGAGAGGGCUUCAUAGAGAAGUCCUCACUUGAGUUAUUCCCAAGAAUCUAAAUUUAAUCUAGACAAGGGGAAAGAGCUACUUUUUGCCAUGCUACACUCACUCUCUUCUGCAGCUGUACUGAAUUUUUUACUUUUCCUAAUGAACUAUGACCUACUAACCUCCAGGCUUUCACUUAGAACUCUUUCCCUUCCGUUACUGCCUGAGUAAUGACAUUACCGUCACUGUUCUCAGUCAAGCUGGGACUUUUUCAGAAAGGUUCCUGUGAUCUUUUCCAGCACUCUGACAAUUUGAGUUUGUUGCUCUUUUUUGGAGGUGCUAAGAAAUCUGCAUGUACUGUUGCUAUCAAUGCACUUGCUACUGAAUGUCGAAGUUACCAUUUAGAUCUUGAUUACCUCCUGUAGAUUGUUGGAUCCUCCAUGGCAGAGUACGUGUCUUACAACCUUAUCCAUUACUCUUUGCACAGUUCCUGGCACUUAUUAGUUAUCACUAAACACCUGUGUAUUGAUGAAUGAAGGAAGUAAAGAAGGAAGAAAUGAACAGGACAUGAUUUACAUGAGAAACGUCAUAGAGGCAGAAAUGAUGGGUUGACCCAAAGACAAUGAGAAGACUUAUGGGAUUAAACUUUAUCUCUGAUGUCA